rnacentral:rRNA from 2 species
CGGGGGAGUAACACGUAGGUAACCUGCCCAGAAGCGGGGGACAACAUUUGGAAACAGAUGCUAAUACCGCAUAACAACGUUGUUCGCAUGAACAACGCUUAAAAGAUGGCUUCUCGCUAUCACUUCUGGAUGGACCUGCGGUGCAUUAGCUUGUUGGUGGGGUAACGGCCUACCAAGGGGAUGAUGCAUAGCCGAGUUGAGAGACUGAUCGGCCACAAUGGGACUGAGACACGGCCCAUACUCCUACGGGAGGCAGCAGUAGGGAAUCUUCCACAAUGGGCGCAAGCCUGAUGGAGCAACACCGCGUGAGUGAAGAAGGGUUUCGGCUCGUAAAGCUCUGUUGUUAAAGAAGAACACGUAUGAGAGUAACUGUUCAUACGUUGACGGUAUUUAACCAGAAAGUCACGGCUAACUACGUGCCAGCAGCCGCGGUAAUACGUAGGUGGCAAGCGUUAUCCGGAUUUAUUGGGCGUAAAGAGAGUGCAGGCGGUUUUCUAAGUCUGAUGUGAAAGCCUUCGGCUUAACCGGAGAAGUGCAUCGGAAACUGGAUAACUUGAGUGCAGAAGAGGGUAGUGGAACUCCAUGUGUAGCGGUGGAAUGCGUAGAUAUAUGGAAGAACACCAGUGGCGAAGGCGGCUACCUGGUCUGCAACUGACGCUGAGACUCGAAAGCAUGGGUAGCGAACAGGAUUAGAUACCCUGGUAGUCCAUGCCGUAAACGAUGAGUGCUAGGUGUUGGAGGGUUUCCGCCCUUCAGUGCCGGAGCUAACGCAUUAAGCACUCCGCCUGGGGAGUACGACCGCAAGGUUGAAACUCAAAGGAAUUGACGGGGGCCCGCACAAGCGGUGGAGCAUGUGGUUUAAUUCGAAGCUACGCGAAGAACCUUACC